GGAUUAGCUCAGCUGGGAGAGCACCUCCCUUACAAGGAGGGGGUCGGCGGUUCGAUCCCGUCAUCACCCACCA
rnacentral:tRNA from 1 species